rnacentral:sRNA from 1 species
ACAUCCCUCACGGAUCGAUGGGAUAGAAACAUCAGGAGGUUUAUAUGAACGAAUUUAAGAGGUGUAUACGCGUGUUCAGUCACUCUCCCU